UACGUAGGGGGCAAGCGUUGUCCGGAAUCAUUGGGCGUAAAGAGCGCGUAGGCGGCCCAGUAAGUCCGCUCUGAAAGUCAGGGGCUCAACCCCUGGAUGCGGGUGGAUACUGCUGGGCUAGAGUCCGGAAGAGGUGAGUGGAAUUCCUGGUGUAGCGGUGAAAUGCGCAGAUAUCAGGAGGAACACCGAUGGCGAAGGCAGGUCUCUGGGCAUUAACUGACGCUGAGGAGCGAAAGCAUGGGGAGCGAACAGG
rnacentral:rRNA from 1 species